GUAAUAUUCGUGAAGCUGUUAAUCUCUAUAUACGAGUGAUGCUAUGAAUUGCUACCAUUCCAGUCGUCCUUCUAACAUUGUUUCAACGUCUUCGCAGACAAUUAAAUGGUUUAUUCAUUAUACGAUACAAGUAAAUAGACUAAAAUGCCAUAUCUAACACACCACAGAAAAUACAAGUUAUAAAGUACAGAUGAAACUGGAAGUACGACUACUGGAAUACGCUGAAUACAUUAGUGAAGGAUGAGGAUGUCAGAUGAUUAUGAUGUGAAAUCGGGUCGCUUAACUAACUUGAAUUCUGUAUUAAUCGUGUAUUCUAUACAACAAGACAGUGCUAAAUCGAAAAAAACAUUAGAUUUUUACCCUGGGAUGUGGAGAGGUG